GACGAACGCUGGCGGCGUGGAUUAGGCAUGCAAGUCGAACGGUAUCAUCCUUUCGGGGGUGAGAGAGUGGCGAACUGGUGAGUAACACGUAGGUUAUCUACCCUCAAGACGGGGACAACCCAGGGAAACUUGGGCUAAUACCGGAUGUGAGCAACUUUUAGUUGUUUGAAAGGUGGCGUAAGCUGUCGCUUGGGGAUGAGCCCUGCGUCCUAUUAGUUAGUUGGUGAGGUAACGGCUCACCUAGGCAAUGAUAGGUAGGCGGCCUUAACGGGUGGUCGCCCACACUGGGAUUGAGAUACGGCCCAGACUCCUACGGGAGGCAGCAGUCGAGAAUAGUCUACAAUGGUCGGAAGACUGAUAGUGCGACGCCGCGUGAACGAUGAAUCCCUUCGGGGUGUAAAGUUCUUUUAUAUGUGAGCAGUGCUUCUUAUAUUAACAGUAUGGGGAGAGAGAUAUUAGCAUAUGAAUAAGCAACGGCUAACUCCGUGCCAGCAGCCGCGGU
rnacentral:rRNA from 1 species